GACGAAGGGGGCUAGCGUUGUUCGGAAUUACUGGGCGUAAAGCGCGUGUAGGCGGUUGCCCAAGUCGGGUGUGAAAGCCUUGAGCUCAACUCAAGAAAUGCACUCGAUACUUGGUGACUAGAGGACCGGAGAGGAUAGUGGAAUUCCCAGUGUAGUGGUGAAAUACGUAGAGAUUGGGAAGAACACCAGUGGCGAAGGCGGCUAUCUGGACGGUUUCUGACGCUAAGACGCGAAAGCGUGGGGAUCAAACAGG
rnacentral:rRNA from 1 species